rnacentral:rRNA from 1 species
AGGACGAACGCUGGCGGCGUGCCUAAUACAUGCAAGUCGAACGGUCUUUCUAUGGAAGCUUGCUUCCACUGAGAAGAUAGUGGCGAACGGGUGAGUAACACGUGGGUAACCUGCCCAUAAGAGGGGGAUAACAUCCGGAAACGGGUGCUAAUACCGCAUAGUUUUCUUGAUCGCAUGAUUGAGAAAGGAAAGACGGCCUUUGUGCUGUCGCUUAUGGAUGGACCCGCGGCGUAUUAGUUAGUUGGUGAGGUAACGGCUCACCAAGACGAUGAUACGUAGCCGACCUGAGAGGGUGAUCGGCCACAUUGGGACUGAGACACGGCCCAAACUCCUACGGGAGGCAGCAGUAGGGAAUCUUCCGCAAUGGACGAAAGUCUGACGGAGCAACGCCGCGUGAGUGAAGAAAGGUUUUUCGGAUCGUAAAACUCUGUUGUCAGAGAAGAACAAGUUGGAGAGUAACUGCUCCAGCCUUGACGGUAUCUGACCAGAAAGCCACGGCUAACUACGUGCCAGCAGCGGC